rnacentral:tRNA from 1 species
GGGAAGGUGGCUCAGUGUAGAGUGCUUGCCUUGUAUGCAUGAGGCCAGGGGUUCUAUUCCUCAGUACCA